UAUAAGCUGUCUCUUAAUUAACUAUAGAAUUUAAUUUUUUAAUUAAAAAGUUAAAAUAAAUUAAAAAGACGAGAAGACCCUAUAGAGUUUUAUAAAUAAAUUAAUUAAAAUUUUAUAUAAUUUUAGAAAAUUGAAAUUAAUUAUUUUAUUUUGUUGGGGUGACAAAAAAAUAUAUUUAACUUUUUUUAUAUAAAAACAUAUAUAAGUGAAUAAAUGAUCCAUUAAUAGUGAUUAAAAGAAAAAAUUACCUUAGGGAUAACAGCGUAAUUUUUUUUUUUAGUUCAUAUAAAAAAAAGAGUUUGCGACCUCGAUGUUGGAUUAA
rnacentral:rRNA from 1 species